rnacentral:rRNA from 1 species
AAUCAACGCUGGCGGCGUGCCUCAGACAUGCAAGUCGAACGAUUAAAGCUCUCUUCGGAGAGUGUAUAGAGUGGCGCACGGGUGAGUAACACGUAAGUAAUCUACCUUCGAGUGGGGAAUAACGUUCGGAAACGGACGCUAAUACCGCAUAAUGCAGCGGCACCGCAAGAUGACAGUUGUUAAAGAUUUAUCGCUUGAAGAGGAGCUUGCGGCAGAUUAGCUAGUUGGUAGGGUAAUGGCUUACCAAGGCUACGAUCUGUAUCCGGUCUAAGAGGACGGUCGGACACACUGACACUGAAUAACGGGUCAGACUCCUACGGGAGGCAGCAGUCGGGAAUUUUGGGCAAUGGGCGAAAGCCUGACCCAGCAACGCCGCGUGAAGGAUGAAGUAUUUCGGUAUGUAAACUUCG